rnacentral:misc_RNA from 1 species
AAGGAUCAUUAGUGAAUAUAGCGUAUCUUUUCAUCAAAGAGCGCGACCUCUCACUUUUCAAACUCUGUGCACUUUUUGGCAUUAGAAAAGUUCGGCAACGACGGUAGUCGAUGCUGUAACGGCUCUUUUGCGUCUCAUUUAUAUAAACACUACAAGUCAGAGAAUGUUUAUGAAACUUUAUAACAAAAAAAACUUUCAACAACGGAUCUCUUGGCUCUC